rnacentral:rRNA from 1 species
GAUCUUGGGAACUGCAUUCGAAACUGGCAGGCUGGAGUCUCGUAGAGGGAGGUAGCAAUUCCAGGUGUAGCGGUGAAAUGCGUAGAGAUCUGGAGGAAUACCAGUGGCGAAGGCGGCCUCCUGGACGAAGACUGACGCUCAGGUGCGAAAGCGUGGGGAGCAAACAGGAUUAGAUACCAUGGUAGUCCACGCUGUAAACGAUGUCGAUUUGGAGGUUGUGCCCUUGAGGCGUGGCUUCCGGAGCUAACGCGUUAAAUCGACCGCCUGGGGAGUACGGCCGCAAGGUUAAAACUCAAAUGAAUUGACGGGGGCCCGCACAAGCGGUGGAGCAUGUGGUUUAAUUCGAUGCAACGCGAAGAACCUUACCUGGUCUUGACAUCCACAGAAGUUUCCAGAGAUGGGAAUGUGCCUUCGGGAACUGUGAGACAGGUGAUGCAUGGCUGUCGUCAGCUCGUGUUGUGAAAUGUUGGGUUAAGUCCCGCAACGAGCGCAACCCUUAUCCUUUGUUGCCAGCGGUCCGGCCGGGAACUCAAAGGAGACUGCCAGUGAUAAACUGGAGGAAGGUGGGGAUGACGUCAAGUCAUCAUGGCCCUUACGACCAGGGCUACACACGUGCUACAAUGGCGCAUACAAAGAGAAGCGACCUCGCGAGAGCAAGCGGACCUCAUAAAGUGACUCGUAGUCCGGAUUGGAGUCUGCAACUCGACUCC